rnacentral:rRNA from 1 species
AACGAACGCUGGCGGCAUGCCUAACACAUGCAAGUCGAACGAGACCUUCGGGUCUAGUGGCGCACGGGUGCGUAACGCGUGGGAACCUGCCCUUAGGUUCGGAAUAACUCCCCGAAAGGGGUGCUAAUACCGGAUAAUGUCUUCGGACCAAAGAUUUAUCGCCUUUGGAUGGGCCCGCGUUGGAUUAGCUAGUUGGUAGGGUAAAAGCCUACCAAGGCGACGAUCCAUAGCUGGUCUGAGAGGAUGAUCAGCCACACUGGGACUGAGACACGGCCCAGACUCCUACGGGAGGCAGCAGUGGGGAAUAUUGGACAAUGGGUGAAAGCCUGAUCCAGCAAUGCCGCGUGAGUGAUGAAGGCCUUAGGGAUGUAAAGCUCUUUUACCCGGGAUGAUAAUGACAGUACCGGGAGAAUAAGCUCCGGCUAACUCCGUG